rnacentral:rRNA from 1 species
GGGUUGUGAGGUUAAGCGACUAAGCGUACACGGUGGAUGCCCUGGCAGUCAGAGGCGAUGAAGGACGUGCUAAUCUGCGAUAAGCGUCGGUGAGGUG